UGGAUCCAGACUUUGAUCAUGGCUCAGGAUGAACGCUAGCUACAGGCUUAACACAUGCAAGUCGAGGGGAAACGACAUCGAAAGCUUGCUUUUGAUGGGCGUCGACCGGCGCACGGGUGAGUAACGCGUAUCCAACCUGCCCACCACUUGGGGAUAACCUUGCGAAAGUAAGACUAAUACCCAAUGACGUCUCUAGAAGACAUCUGAAGGAGAUUAAAGAUUUAUCGGUGAUGGAUGGGGAUGCGUCUGAUUAGCUUGUUGGCGGGGUAACGGCCCACCAAGGCGACGAUCAGUAGGGGUUCUGAGAGGAAGGUCCCCCACAUUGGAACUGAGACACGGUCCAAACUCCUACGGGAGGCAGCAGUGAGGAAUAUUGGUCAAUGGACGAGAGUCUGAACCAGCCAAGUAGCGUGCAGGAUGACGGCCCUAUGGGUUGUAAACUGCUUUUAUAAGGGAAUAAAGUGAGUCUCGUGAGACUUUUUGCAUGUACCUUAUGAAUAAGGACCGGCUAAUUCCGUGCCAGCAGCCGCGGUAAUACGGAAGGUCCGGGCGUUAUCCGGAUUUAUUGGGUUUAAAGGGAGCGUAGGCCGGAGAUUAAGCGUGUUGUGAAAUGUAGACGCUCAACGUCUGCACUGCAGCGCGAACUGGUUUCCUUGAGUACGCACAAAGUGGGCGGAAUUCGUGGUGUAGCGGUGAAAUGCUUAGAUAUCACGAAGAACUCCGAUUGCGAAGGCAGCUCACUGGAGCGCAACUGACGCUGAAGCUCGAAAGUGCGGGUAUCGAACAGGAUUAGAUACCCUGGUAGUCCGCACGGUAAACGAUGGAUGCCCGCUGUUGGUCUGAAUAGGUCAGCGGCCAAGCGAAAGCAUUAAGCAUCCCACCUGGGGAGUACGCCGGCAACGGUG
rnacentral:rRNA from 2 species